rnacentral:rRNA from 1 species
GGGGGGGGGGGGGGGGGGGGGGGGGGGGGGGGGGGGGGGGGGGGGGGGGGGGGGCGGGCGGCGGGGGGGUGAGGGGCGGACGGGGGAGGGGGGGGAGGGGGAACUGCCGGUAGGACGGGGCUAACGUCGGGAGACCGGGGCCAAUACCGGAGGCUAUUGCGAACCGCAUGGUUCUGGAGUGGAAGAUGGUUUGGCUAUCACUUAUAGCUGGACCCGCGCCGUAUUAGCUAGUUGGUAAGGUAACGGCUUACCAAGGCGACGAUACGUAGCCGACCUGAGAGGGUGAUCGGCCACACUGGAGCUGAGACACGGUCCAGACUCCUACGGGAGGCAGCAGUAGGGAAUCUUCCGCAAUGGGCGAAAGCCUGACGAAGCAACGCCGCGUGAGUGAUGAAGGUCUUCGGAUCGUAAAACUCUGUUAUUAGGGAAGAACAUACGUGUAAGUAACUGUGCACGUCUUGACGGUACCUAAUCAGAAAGCCACGGCUAACUACGUG